rnacentral:rRNA from 1 species
GGAGUUAGCCGGUGCUUCUUCUGUGAGUGAUGUCCUUCCUGCCGGCUAUUAACCCGCAGGCCUUCUUCCUCACUGAAAGUGCUUUACAACCCGAAGGCCUUCUUCACACACGCGGCAUGGCUGGAUCAGGGUUGCCCCCAUUGUCCAAUAUUCCCCACUGCUGCCUCCCGUAGGAGUCUGGGCCGUGUCUCAGUCCCAGUGUGGCUGAUCAUCCUCUCAGACCAGCUACGGAUCGUCGCCUUGGUGAGCCGUUACCUCACCAACCAGCUAAUCCGACAUAGGCUCAUCCGAUAGCGCGAGGCCCGAAGGUCCCCCGCUUUCCCCCGUAGGGCGUAUGCGGUAUUAGCCUGGGUUUCCCCAGGUUACUCCCCCACUACCGGGCAGAUUCCUAUGCAUUACUCACCCGUCCGCCGCUCGCCACCAGGGAGCAAGCUCCCCGUGCUGCCGCUCGACUUGCAUGUGUUAGGCCUGCCGCCAGCGUUCAAUCUGAGCCAGGAAUCGAAACCUCGACGUACGUAGACGGGCGGUCGGUCGGACGGACGGCCGACUAA